CCUACGGGUGGCUGCAGUGGGGAAUAUUGGACAAUGGGCGAAAGCCUGAUCCAGCCAUGCCGCGUGUGUGAAGAAGGCCUUCGGGUUGUAAAGCACUUUCAGUGGGGAAGAAAGCCUUGGGGCUAAUACCCUCGAGGAAGGACAUCACCCACAGAAGAAGCACCGGCUAACUCCGUGCCAGCAGCCGCGGUAAUACGGAGGGUGCGAGCGUUAAUCGGAAUUACUGGGCGUAAAGCGCGCGUAGGCGGUCUGAUAAGCCGGUUGUGAAAGCCCCGGGCUCAACCUGGGAACGGCAUCCGGAACUGUCAGGCUUGAGUGCAGGAGAGGAAGGUAGAAUUCCCGGUGUAGCGGUGAAAUGCGUAGAGAUCGGGAGGAAUACCAGUGGCGAAGGCGGCCUUCUGGACUGACACUGACGCUGAGGUGCCAAAGCGUGGGUAGCAAACAGGAUUAGAUACCCCUGUAGUC
rnacentral:rRNA from 1 species